rnacentral:rRNA from 1 species
GUCUACGGCCAUGCUACCCUGAACGAGCCCGAUCCCGUCUGACCUCAGAAGCUAAGCAGGGUCAGGCCUGGUUAGUACUUGUAUGGGAGACCACCUAGGAAGACCAGGUGCUGUGGGUG